rnacentral:snRNA from 1 species
AUGCGUACCUGCCAGGGAGAUGGCAAGGUCAAGAAGACAGCUUUCUCAGGGUAAGGCCCAUCUACUGCAGUCUGCUGUGCUGACCCUGAGAUUUCCUCACAUACAGGAAACUCAACUGCAUAUUUUGUGGUCGUGGGGACUGCAUUCAUGUUCUCCCCUG